GGAUUUUGAUAAUUGAUUUUUUGACUGUUAGAGAUAAAGUGGGUCCUAACUGUAAGAGAAGAAUUCAAAAAUAAUGGCUGAAAUAGUGAAAUAACGGACAAAAAUUGAUUUUAAUUGGCUUAAAAUCUAAACCAAACAAGCUCUAAGAUUUUGCAUAAAUUUUUAGAUACUAAGAUCAUGAAUUUAUUAAGAUCUUCUUGUAAAGAAAAGCCCGGAACAUAUUUUGUACGCAAUAUUGAAUAAAACUAAUUAGUAUAAUCAACUUCUUUUUCUUUUUAAAUAUCAAGUUUUUCCACUUAGUUAUUCUUUCUACAAUAAGUAAUGCUAUUAAGUUGAAGCGCGACAUAUACAUGAUUUUCUCAUACCUGCAUCUUGAAUUUUGCCUAAAUUUUCUUUGCUCAUGUUUUAUACGCAAUACUGAGCAAGACCAAGCUAAACAAUAGAUUUUUUAUUUCUAAAGAGUGACAUUGCACUACUAUGACAGGGCUGUUUUUCUUGGGAAGCAGUGUGCAGUAUGCUGAAGCCCAAAAGAAAGUUUGCCCAAAAAAUUGCCUCAAAAUUGGGUACAUGACUUGCCCAAAAUCUGGUUCUAGGAGGCUUCAUCCAGGCUGCACAAAUUGUUGCAAAAUCAAGAAGGGCUGCAAACUUUAUAGACCUAAUGGAGGCCUUAUUUGUACUGGAAAGUAAUUUGGAUAUGACCUAAAUAUUAAAUAAACUAUCAUAUAUGUUUGUAUAACAAACAUACAAAAUAAAUAAAUGAAUCUGAUAUGUUUCUGUGAAAUGAAAUACAAGAUUCAAGUUUAAUUAUACGGUUGCAUGUUGUUUCAAUGAAAUUAUCUUUCACAUAAUUAUUUCUCUAAAUUUAUUGGGUGAGACUUAGUUGUUGUAUACUCAUAUUGAUCUACGAUAGCAGAGAGUUGGUGUGGAAAUAUUAUACGGUUGCAUGUUGUUUCAAUGAAAUUAUCUUUCACAUAAUUAUUUCUCUAAAUUUAUUGGGUGAGACUUAGUUGUUGUAUACUCAUAUUGAUCUACGAUAGCAGAGAGUUGGUGUGGAAAUAGUAUAUAAAAUACAAUAAAUGGGGACACUAUAAAAAUUGAGUCGAAAUAAGAGAUUAUGCACCUAUAGAUAUCUUGAAGAUAGAAUUUGCCCCUGGCACAUAGAGGUAUGGAGAAUAUAUAUUGUAGAAAAUAGAAUAAACAUCAAAAAC
rnacentral:lncRNA from 1 species